AUUCUUGCCUAAUAAAUACUAUAUAAAGAGCUUGAAGAUUAUUAUGCAUAUUGCUAGAGUUGUAAGAAGAUCUUAAAAGAAAAAUGGCAACGCUCAUAUGCCAAUCUCUUCUAUUGGGACUUUUAUGCAUUGCAUUGGUUCUGUCUUCAGGAGCAACACCAGAUUUGAACAAUUUAUCACCUUUUCCAUGCAUUGGGCCAUGCCAGAAUUGUGACCAAAUGUGCAGAAAUGAGGGAUAUAAUAAAGGUGGAGGUUGUUACUCUACAGUUUGUUGUUGUCACUUUUAAAGCCAGCAUCUAUGAGAAGCUAAAAUAAAAAAGAAAUUAUGCAAGCAAAAAGUGAGAGUAAAAGUUGUUUCAAUAAAAUAAUAUGUACUUUAGUAAAACUAUAAUUGAUAUAUUCCACAAUAAAAUUUUAUUUUAGAACAUCAUUGUAUUUUUGUAACAAUGUUUUAAGAUUAAUAGUAUGUGUGAUCUUGUUAUGCUUAAAAUUUGAAAAUUUGAGAAGAUGUGUUAGUUAUGCGGAAAA